GUUGAAUUUCCCAGUACUCACAUUAACCGUAGAUCUUAGGUGGUUUACACAACUCCCAGUAUAGGCACAGAGGUGCUAUUUCAAGCUUUUACACAUUAUGAGUUUGGAAGCUCUGUCUAGGGUGUAUGAAGUCACCUAAGCCUUUGCAUUUGUGCUGUAGCAUGAGCAGAAGCAUGAGUUUAAAAGAGGACACUGGCACUUAGCCUAAGAAAAAAUAACUGGCAAUAAAUCCUUGCUCUAAAGUACUUGGACAAUUUGUAGCUUAGAGAUUAAAAGAAUCAGUAACUGAGGAGUUUCAAAAUACAAACACAAUCUUGGAUUCCUUGUGUGGUUUUUGUUGUAUUUUAAAGAAGAAAUAUAUUUCUGAAGUAGUUCAGUAACUAAAGGAUGUAUCUGGCUAUUUAGGCUCCUCUGUCCCAAAGUUUGAGCUUCAGCGGUGUCCAAACCUGACUUAUAUGCACAUAUUGUAGCAGAAAUACUAAGUCACAGCCUGAAGCAGUGAUUGAGCACCUGGUGGGAAGGCAGGGCCAACCCACAGGAGCUCAGGUGCAUGCAGUGCAUCUGAGUGAUCAGAAGAGGUAGAGCCAGGAUCCGCCCCUUCCCAGACCUCACUUAAAGGCUGUCAGUAGAGGUGAGGGCAUCUCUUGUUGGAGAUCCCUGCUUACCUGAGGCCUUCCAAAGGAAUAUCCUUCUGGCCACAUGGUGUUUCAGAAUGGCUUUUGCCAACAAAACAUAAGUAGAGUUCAUACCGAACUAGGAAAAAUGAGUUCUAGUUCUAAACUUCUUUUGAGGGCCUUGGUAGCAGGAUGCAUUCACGUGGACACAGGUAUUUACGCUUCCACAGAUGCCUAACCUUUUUGUCAGCUUUGAAACAGAAGCAGUGGUACUAAGGAACCUGGUUUAAUGGGCAAUAUUAGUAGAAGUUGGACUAGAUGAUCUUAGAGGUCUUUUCCAACCUUAAUGAUCCUAUGAUUCUAUGAAUUCGAACUUAAUGCAUUUGCUACUUCUGCCAUGAGCCUGAAGAAGCAUCUUUGAACUCAAAAGCCUGUAUAUUUUUUCCAGCAGUUUUACUAAGUCUAUGUUUUCUCUCUGCAGAUCCUGUUUUCUUGCACUUUGUACAUCACAAUAUUAUCAUGGGUAAAAUGAAGAGUGUUUCUCAGAAGUAUGCCUUGUGAUUUCUGGCCUGCUCAGACUGCCUGCU
ensembl:lncRNA